rnacentral:rRNA from 1 species
UUUCCAGAGAUGGAUUGGUGCCUUCGGGAACGUCUGACACAGGUGCUGCAUGGCUGUCGUCAGCUCGUGUCGUGAGAUGUGGGUUAAGUCCCGUAACGAGCGCAACCCUUGUCCUUAGUUACCAGCACGUUAUGGUGGGCACUCUAAGGAGACUGCCGGUGACAAACCGGAGGAAGGUGGGGGAUGACGUCAAGUCAUCAUGGCCCUUACGGCCUGGGCUACACACGUGCUACAAUGGUCGGUACAAAGGGUUGCCAAGCCGCGAGGUGGAGCUAAUCCCAUAAAACCGAUCGUAGUCCGGAUCGCAGUCUGCAACUCGACUGCGUGAAGUCGGAAUCGCUAGUAAUCGUGAAUCAGAAUGUCACGGUGAAUACGUUCCCGGGCCUU